rnacentral:rRNA from 1 species
CCCUUAGAUGUUCUGGGCCGCACACGCGCUACACUGAAGGAGGCAGCGUGUACUCCUGGAUCGAAAGAUUUGGGUAACCCGCGAAUCUCCUUCGUGCUAGGGAUUGAGGUUUGCAAUUAUCCUUCAUGAACGAGGAAUUCCCAGUAAGUGCAAGUCAUAAGCCUGCGCUGACUACGUCCCUGCCCUUUGUACACACCGCCCGUCGCUACUACCGAUUGAAUGAUUUAGUGAGGACUUCGGACUGGGACCGAUGCGGCUUUCGGGCUGCGUCGGUAUUCUGGAAAGAUGUCCAAACUGUAUCAUUUAGAGGAAGUAAAANUCGUANCA